rnacentral:rRNA from 1 species
GACGAACCGUACGAACGUUAUUCGGAAUUACUGGGCUUAAAGGGUGCGUAGGCGGCUCAGUAAGUUGGGUGUGAAAUCCCUCGGCUUAACCGAGGAAUUGCGCCCAAAACUACUGUGCUCGAGGGAGAUAGAGGUGAGCGGAACUUAGGGUGGAGCGGUGAAAUGCGUUGAUAUCCUAAGGAACACCGGUGGCGAAAGCGGCUCACUGGAUCUCUUCUGACGCUGAGGCACGAAAGCUAGGGUAGCAAACGGG